CAUCCAGCCUGGAUUUGAACACCUCCAGGGAUGGGGCAUCCACCACUUCUCUGGGCUGCCUGUGCCAGGACCUCACCACAAUCUCAGUGCAAAAAUCCCCCCAUUCUCUAAUCUAAAUCUCACCUCUUUUAAUUUGGAAUAGAUCCUUUUUGUGCCAUCCCUAUCUACCCAUGUAAAAAGGGGAGAUGUUUCUACCCUCUUGUUUCUAAGCUCUCUGUCAGUACUGGAAGGCUUCAGUGUGUUCCCCUCCAAGUUGUUUCUACACACAGCUCCGGAUUUUACUCACACUUUACUCCAGGUUUACUCACCCUUUACUCUGGGCUUAGGCACACCUUACUCUGGGUUUUACUCAGCCUUUACUCCAAGUUUGCUCAACCUCUACUCAGGUUUUACUCACCCUCUAUUCCAGGUUUUAACACACUUUACUCUGUGUUUUACUCCCCCUUUACUCCAGGUUUACUCACCCUUUACUCCAGGUUUACUCAACCUUUACUCUGGGUUUAGUCACAGCUUACUCUGGGUUUUACUCACUCUUUACUCCAGGUUUUACACACACUUUCCUCCGGGUUUUACUCACUUUUUUCUCUUGUUUUACUCAGCCUUUACUCCAGGUUUGCUCCACCUCUACUCAGCUUUUACACACCCUUUAUUCCAGGUUUACACACACUGUACUCUGGGUUUACUCACAUCUCACUCCGGAUUUUACUCACACUUUACUCCAGGUUUUACUCACCCUUUACUCCAGGUUUACUCCACCUUCACUCAGGUUUUACACACCCUUUAUUCCAGGUUUACACACACUUUACUCCGGGUUUUACUCAAGCUUUACUCCAGGUUUACUCACCCUUUACUCUGGGUUUAAUCUCACCUCACUCCGGGUUUUACUCACCCUUUACUCCGGGUUUUACUCCCCCUUUACUCCAGGUUUACUCAACCUUUACUCAGCUUUUACACACCCUUUAUUCCAGGUUUACACACCCUUUACUCCGGGUUUUACUCACCCUAUACUCCAGGCUUACUCAACCUUUACUCUGGGUUUAAUCGCACCUCACUCUGGAUUUUACUCACCCUUUACUCCGGGUUUACUCACACUUUACUCUGGGUUUUACUCACCCUUUACUCCAGGUUUACUCAGCCUUUACUCUGGGCUUAGGCACACUUUACUCUGGGUUUUACUCAGCCUUUACUCCAAGUUUGCUCAACCUCUACUCAGGUUUUACUCACCCUCUAUUCCAGGUUUUAACACACUUUACUCCGGGUUUUACUCACCCUUUACUCCAGGUUUACUCAACCUUUACUCUGGGUUUAGGCACACCUCACUCCGGGUUUUACUCAGCCUUUACUUCAGGUUUACUCAACCUUCACUCAGGUUUUACACACCCUUUAUUCCAUGUUUACACACACCUUACUCCGGGUUUUACUCACACUUUACUCCGGGCUUUACUCAGACUUUACUCCGGGUUUACUCACCCUAUACUCCAGGUUUACUCAGCCUUUACUCUGGGCUUAGGCACACUUUACUCUGGGUUUUACUCAGCCUUUACUGCAGGUUUACUCACCCUUUACUCAGCUUUUACACACCCUUUAUUCCAGCUUUACACACACUGUACACUGGGUUUACUCACAUCUCACUCCGGAUUUUACUCACCCUUUACUCCGGGUUUUACUCAGCCUUUACUCCAGGUUUACUCAGCCUUUACUCUGGGCUUAGGCACACUUUACUCUGGGUUUUACUCAGCCUUUACUCCGGGUUUGCUCAACCUCUACUCAGGUUUUACUCACCCUUUAUUCCAGCUUUACACACACUGUACACUGGGUUUACUCACAUCUCACUCCGGAUUUUACUCACCCUUUACUCCGGGUUUUACUCAGCCUUUACUCCAGGUUUACUCACCCUUUACUCUGGGUUUAGGCACACUUUACUCCGGGAUUUACUCAGCCUUUACUUCAGGUUUACUCACCCUUUACUCUGGGUUUUACUCACACUUUACUCCGGGUUUCUUCAACCUUUACUCAGCUUUUACUCACCCUUUACUCCACGUUUACUCAACCUUUACUCUGGGUUUACUCACACUUUACUCCGGAUUUUACUCACCCUUUACUCCAGGUUUACUCAACCUUUACUCUGGGUUUAGGCACACCUUACUCCAGGUUUUACUCAGCCUUUACUCCUGGUUUCACUCCCCCUUUACUCCAGGUUUACUCACCCUUCACUCCGGUUUUACACACCCUUUAUUCCACGUUUACACACACUUUACUCUGGGUUUACUCUCACUUUACUCCGGGUUUCACUCCCCCUUUACUAUGGGUUUACUCACCCUUUACUCCGGUUUUACACACCCUUUAUUCCACGUUUACACACACUUUACUCCGCUCCAUAGAUGGGCCCCUGUGCCCCGUCGAUGCAACCCCUGCCCCAUAGAUUCGAUCCGUGCCCCAUAGAUGUGCCCCCCUGCCCCAUACAUGCAACCCCUGCCCCAUAGAUGUGCCCCCCUGCCCCAUAGAUGGGACCCCUGCCCCAUAGAUGGGAGUCCCUGCCCCAUAGAAGUGCCCCCCUGCCCCAUAGAAGUGCCCCCCUGCCCCAUAGAUGCAACCCCUGCCUGAUAGAUAUGAUCCCAGCCCCAUAGAUGUGCCCCCCUGCCCCAUAGGUGUGCCCCCCUUCCCCAUACAUGCAACCCCUGACCCACAGAUAUGAUCUGUGCCCCAUAGAUGUGCCCCUGAGCCCAUAGAUGCAACCCCUGCCCCAUAGAUGUGCCCCCCUGCCCCAUACAUGCAACCCCUGACCCACAGAUAUGAUCUGUGCCCCAUAGAUGUGCCCCUGAGCCCAUAGAUGCAACCCCUGACCCAUAGAUGUGCCCCCCUGCCCCAUAGAUGGGACCCACUGCCCCAUAGAUGGGCCUCCCUGCCCCAUAGAUCCGAUCCCUGACCCAUAGAGCACAUCACUGCCCCAUAGAUGUGCCCCCCUGCCCCAUAGAUCUGAUCCCUGCCUCAUAGAGCACAUCACUGCCCCAUAGAUGGGGCCACCUGACCCAUAGAUGUGCCUCCCUGCCCCAUAGAACAGAUCCCUGCCCCAUAGAUAUGAUCCCUGUCCCAUCGAUGCACCCCCGAGCCAAAUAGAUGCGACCCCUUCCCCAUAGAUGGGAGUCCCUGCCCCAUAGAGCAGAUCACUGCCCCAUAGAUGUGCCCCCUGCCCCAUAGAUAUGAUCCCUGCCCCAUAGAUGUGCCCCACUGCUCCAUAUAUGUCACCCCUGCCCCAUAGAUGGGACUCCUGCCCCAUAGAUAUGAUCCCUGCCCCAUAGAUGCUACCCCUGCCCCAUAGAUGUGCCCCCCUGCCCCAUAGAUCCGAACCCUGCCCCAUAGAUAUGGUCGCUGCCCCAUAGAUCUGAACCCUGCCCCAUAGAUAUGAUCGCUGCCCCAUAGAUGGCCCCCCCCUGCCCCAUAGAUGUGCCUCCCUGCCCCAUAGAUGUGACUCCUGCCCCAUAGAUGUGCUCCCCUGCCAAUAGAUCCGAUACGUGCCCCAUAGAUAUGAUCCCUGCCCCAUAGAUGUGCCCCCCUACCCCAUACAUGCAAACCCUGCCCCAUAGAUCCAAUCCCUGCACCAUAGAUGCGACCCCUGCCCCAUAGAUGGGAGUCCCUGCCCCAUAGAAGUGCCCUCCAGCCCCAUAGAUAGAGGUGCCUCCCUGCCCCAUAGAUUGCCCCCCUUCCCCAUACAUGCAACCCCUGACCCAUAGAUAUGAUCUGUGCCCCAUAGAUGUGCCCCUGAGCCCAUAGAUGCGACCCCUGCCCCAUAGAUGGGAGUCCCUGCCCCAUAGAUGCGACCCCGCCCCAUAGAUAUGACCCCUGCCCCAUAGAUCGACCUCCGCCCCAUAGAUAUGAGUCGCUGCCCCAUAGAUGAGCCCCCCUGCCCCAUACAUGCGACCCCUGCCCCAUAGAUCCGAUCCCUGCCCCAUAGAUGCGACCCCUGCCCCAUAGAUGCAAUCCCAACCCCAUAGAUAUGAUCCCUGCCCCAUAGAUGUGCCCCCCAGCCAUAUAGAUGUGCCCCCCAGCCCCAUAGAUAUGCCCCCCAGCCCAAUAGAUGCAACCCCUGCCCUAUAGAUGGGAGUCCCUGCCCCAUAGAUGUGCCCCCCAGCCCCAUAGAUAUGAUCCCAGCCCCAUAGAUAGAGGUGCCUCCCUGCCCCAUAGAUGUGACCCCUGCCCCAUAGAUGCGACCCCUGCCCGAUAGAUAUGAUCCCAGCCCCAUAGAUGCGAUCCCUGCCGCAUAGAUGUGCCUGCCUGCCCCAUAGAUGUGACCCCUGCCCCAUACAUGCAACCCCUGCCCCAUAGAUAUGACCAAUGCCCCAUAGAUGCCACCCCUGUCCCAUAGAUGGGAGUCCCUGCCCCAUAGAUCCGACCCGCGCCCCAUAGAUAUGAGUCCCUGCCCCAUAGAUGAGCCCCCCUGCCCCAUACUUGCAACCCCUGCCCCAUAGAUCUGAUCCCUGCCCCGUAGAUGCGACCCCGCCCCAUAGAUAUGAUCGCUGCCCCAUAGAUGGGCCCCCCUGCCCCAUACAGGUGCCCCCCUGCCCCAUACAUGCAACCCCUGCCCAUAGAACCAAUCCCUGCCCCAUGGAUAUGAUCACUGUCUUAUAGAUGUGCCCCCAGCCCCAUAGAUAUGCCCCCAGCCCCAUAGAUUCACCCCCUGCCCCAUAGAUUCACCCCCUGCCCCAUAGAUCCGAUCCCUGCCCAUAGAUACGAGUCCCUGCCCCAUAGAUAUGACCCCCCUGCCCCAUAGAUAUGACCUCUGCCCCAUAGAUCCGACCCCUGCCCCAUAGAUCUGACCCCUGCCCUAUAGAUAUGAGUCCCUGCCCCAUAGAUAUGAUCCCCUGCCCCACAGCAAGGUCCUACCCAACAUCCAUAACCAGCCCCAUAGCUACACUCCCCUGCCCCAUAGAUACCCCCCCAGCCCCAUAGAUAUAGCCCCCUGCCCCAUAG
ensembl:lncRNA